UGCAGGAAGCAUUCUGCAUCAUCCAAGCUUGACCAAAUGAAGAGCGGGGCUCUUUAAGAGGCCAUGACACCCUCCACAUUCUGAUACUGCUAUGGCAACUCCAGAUUGUUACCUGCCACUGGACCCUUCCUCCCACCCUCAGAAACAUCACCACAGGCAGUGGCAUUCGCUUAGGGCUCUGGCAACUUCAUCCUUGUUUAUCUGAUUAAGAACUCUCAUUUAUUGAAGGGCACAAAGUGAUUCUCUACAGUAAGUUAAGGGUGACAGCUAUUGUCAUCCAUGACUCCUUCUUAAUUAAGCUCUUUGACUUUGUUUGUUUGAAACAUCAUGUGCUGUUUUCUCUAAACCUAGAUCCUGGAUUAAUGACUGCCAGAACCAUCAGCAUGGCAGCAUGUUCCAGUGCUCCAACAGCUCCAGGGAUAGAAAUGAACCUCCUAGAACACCAGAUCUUGUCCUGCUAGCUGGCCAACACUCUACAGGAGCUUGAAGAUCUCAAGGAAAAGCUUCUUCCAUCUGAGCCUACUGCCUAUGCCCUGGACAAGCAGCUACAAAACACCAAUGUGAGCUGUGCAAAGUCAUCAUGCAGCCUGUGCUGGGGGAGAACAUCCAAUGUGAGGAGGAGCAGCUGGCAGAGAGCCCACCUGUCACCAAGAGGCUGAGGGAAUUCAAUAUCUCACUCCAUCCUCACACAAGACAACUGAGACAACUAAAGCAGAAGCUACAGGAACAGAGAGAUGCCUCCAUCUUACUCCUUCAGCAUCUCAAAGAUCUGCUCACAGUGGACAGCCCUGAGAGCUGCCUGAACCAGGGCCUCUGGGAUCGACUUUCUCAGGGACAUCAUCUGGCAGAGCACCGUGCCCACAAGCUCAGCCAAGAUGUUCAUGACCAUCUGAAAGAGCAAGAACAAUGAUCCCUGGCAUUUCUGGCCCUCAGUGUCAACAGUGAGCAGCCUGAGAGGCAAGUGAAUGAUGUCCUAUUAGAUUCAUCAGCUAAGAGAACUGUGAUUGGAUGCUCCCUUUCUAUUGAAGAUUCCUCGCAACCUGCAGGGUGAUGCUCAUGAACGCUCACACACUAGCAGCCACGAGUGUCGUGUCUUUGACCACCUGAUGAUGAAAGGAAAGCUGCAAUCAAGGAAAGUGGAAAGCAUCGUGCAGAAUCCCAGUCUUCCAACCUAGGAUGCAGAGAUACCAAAGAUUGCUGCAGUUAUGAAAGGAUACUGCAAAGAUAUAUACCCAAAUGUGCUGCAACAGUCAAAGAAAAAAUAUAAAAAAUAUUGCAGAUAUAUAUGCCCAAAUGCGCUACAACAGUCAAAGAGAAAAAAAAAAUACACAAAACAUCAAUGCAAACAGAACAAUAGAAAUGAAUUUCAAUAUCACAUUCCACACUUAGCAAUUGAUAUUCCCACAGGCAGGUUGGAGGAAGGCCAUCAGAGUCCAUCAGCCUCCACCUGGUUAAACACCUAAGCAGACCAAGGCCCAGAGCCUCAGACUGUUGGGAGUCUUUAACUCUCAUUGCCAUCCUGCCAAGAAGCAGCAUCAAGACCAGCUGCACUGUGACAACAGCCCCACUGGACAUGCGCUGUCUCCACAUGGGAUGCUGCAGGAGCAGUCAGGAAUAAGGAUGCAGUGCUCUUGAUGAAAAGGUUUACCUGGAGGGAAUCAUGAGGAGAUGACCUGAAAACAGGAGAAUAUAGACCAUUGAUUGAGACAUUU